rnacentral:tRNA from 1 species
GGUUUGGUGGUCUAGUGGUAUGAUUCUCGCUUAGGGACAACCCUUAGUAGAUAUGCGAGAGGUCCCGGGUUCAAUCCCCGGCCAAACCC